CAGUAGCCACGGUAAUACGAGGGGGGCAAGCGUUGUUCGGAAUUAUUGGGCGUAAAGGGUGCGUAGGCGGUUUGAUAAGUCACAUGUGAAAUCUUCGGGCUCAACCCGAAGUCUGCAUGCGAAACUGUCGGGCUUGAGUAUUGGAGAGGUGAGUGGAAUUUCCGGUGUAGCGGUGAAAUGCGUAGAUAUCGGAAGGAACACCUGUGGCGAAAGCGGCUCACUGGACAAUAACUGACGCUGAUGCACGAAAGCUAGGGGAGCAAACAGGAUUAGAUACCCGCGUAGUCCCUGUCUCUUAUAC
rnacentral:rRNA from 1 species